GGUUUCUUAGCUCAGUUGGUAGAGCAACGGACUGAA
rnacentral:sRNA from 1 species